UACCCGGCAGUUCGACCUCCAGACGACUAUGAGAGCUAGCCUGAGAGGUGCUGGCCUGCUGCUUCCUCAGAAUAUUAGCAUCCUCUGAGCCGGAAGUUGGUCUAACAGACUAACACUGCUCGGAGAGUCGCACCAUUGCCACUAAGCUGGAGAGUCGCGCCGUCCGUCAGAGAUCUGCCUCAGCGACAGGGCCUUUGAUCAUCUUAACAACUGCCCCUCAGCCACAAAUUUCUAGCUAUUCCACUAUAACAACGCUGAAAGCGGUGCGACCAUCAAAUUGACAUUUGUAUCCCUUCCUCAACUCGAGCAUGACAUUAGCAUCUGGCGACCAUCACAACUGGAAAAAUAACCUGCUUAGAAGACCAAAUAUGCAGAAACACAAAUGUCCAUGUACUUGAAACGAUUCUCUCAAAUGUCGGAUACUUGGAGACUUUUAUCUGUCCUCAGGAAACUUGUCAUUGAACACCCUGUUCUCAGAACUCUUGUUCCAACAUGAAGACUAGGCCA